AUUCUGCCCAUGCGGGAAGGAUGAGAAGCUUCGACUAAGGUUCGGCUCGAGCGUCAGCGAGAGAGCGUUGCCGCAGGCAACGACCCGAAGGGCGAAGCGCGCAGCGCUGAGUAAUCCUUCCCCACCACCA
rnacentral:sRNA from 1 species